GACGAACGCUGGCGGCGUGCUUAACACAUGCAAGUCGAACGCUGAAGCACCAGCUUGCUGGUGUGGAUGAGUGGCGAACGGGUGAGUAAUACGUGAGUAACCUGCCCUUGACUCUGGGAUAAGCCCGGGAAACUGGGUCUAAUACUGGAUGCUACAUGUCACCGCAUGGUGGUGUGUGGAAAGGGUUUACUGGUCUUGGAUGGGCUCACGGCCUAUCAGCUUGUUGGUGGGGUAAGGGCUCACCAAGGCGACGGCGGGUAGCCGGCCUGGGAGGGUGACCGGCCACACUUGGACUGAGACACGGCCCAGACUCCCACGGGGGGCAGCAGGGGGGAAUAUUGCACAAUGGGCGAAAGCCUGAUGCAGCGACGCCGCGUGGGGGAUGACGGCCUUCGGGUUGUAAACCUCUUUCAGCAGGGAAGAAGCCACAAGUGACGGUACCUGCAGAAGAAGCGCCGGCUAACUACGUG
rnacentral:rRNA from 1 species